rnacentral:rRNA from 1 species
UACGGAGGGGGCUAGCGUUGUUCGGAAUUACUGGGCGUAAAGCGCACGUAGGCGGCUUUGCAAGUCAGAGGUGAAAGCCCGGGGCUCAACCCCGGAAUUGCCUUUGAGACUGCAUCGCUAGAAUUGUGGAGAGGUAAGUGGAAUUCCGAGUGUAGAGGUGAAAUUCGUAGAUAUUCGGAAGAACACCAGUGGCGAAGGCGACUUACUGGACACAUAUUGACGCUGAGGUGGCGAAAAGCGUGGGGAGCAAACAGG